rnacentral:lncRNA from 13 species
UCCCUUGACACUUGGGGAUUAAGGGAAUUACAAUUCGAGAUGAGAUUUGGGUAGAGACACAAAGCCUAACCAUAUCAAGAGGGCACCACAUCCCCAUUUCUCUCUACUAGUUGUCCCAUUCAGAUAUAUUAAUGAAGUCAUGCAGACUUAAAGCCUGUCGUAUCAUUUCAGAAACAUAUUUCCACAAUCUUUGGAAAGGAGUUGAGAAGAAUUAACAUUUUCUGAGGACUUGCACUUACCUUACACUCCACUGGGAUCCUUCCUACAUAUCAGAUACACACAGCAACCCAAAGAGAAACUGGGCAUACAGUCUUCAGUCUCAUGAAACAUGCAGCCAAAGUUUAAGUUGGGUUGAAGUUGGAGGGAGCCUAGAACCUACUUCUGGACUUGACAGGCCUGGCUCUUCCAGUUUAACAGGGCAACCAGACCAGUGUAUUUUGUAUGGAGAGCCACUGCACUGCAGCACCGGUCAAAACAGCCACGCUGGCCAAAACAGCUGUGCUGGCCGAAACAGCCACGCUGGUGACCCGUGGGGCUCCUCCACCUGGGAAUCUCCUGGUCCAUGGGCAAUAAAGAUCCAUCCGGAAAUGUGGUGUCCACUGAUCCUCUGCACUUUCACUGGGAGCUGUAAUCCGGAGCUGGUCCUACAGUGCCAUCUUCUCCGUAUCCCCACCUCAUUUCUUUUCAUUCCAGAAAAAUUCUAUAGUAUAAACAGAUGUCACAGGAAUUACAGAGAACUACAAACAUUCAGUGACUAGUGACCAGAUGCUCUGCAAUGCUAGAACAGGCUUCGGAAAAAGAAGACUCAUACCAUUUUCUGCACUACUUUGGAAUAUCCCACCAGAUGUUAUUGUAUGUAUAAAAAUUGUUCAUACUUAGCUGAGUUUGAAAACAACUUUCAUUUUACAUAGAAACCCAAAGUAUUUGUUGCACAUUUUAAUAAUCACUAAAAUGUUUUUGGAGGUGCAAAAUUUCUUGUAAAAAUGGGAAAGUCUGUCCUUAGUUUUGUUUGGAAUUUUGUCAAGAGUUGUAAACCAUAUCACAAACUUUAGCAUCAAUAGGGGUUCUGUUAGACCUAUUUGAGGUACCUGUAUCUGAG